rnacentral:rRNA from 1 species
CCUACGGGUGGCAGCAGUGAGGAAUAUUGGUCAAUGGACGAGAGUCUGAACCAGCCAAGUAGCGUGAAGGAUGACUGCCCUAUGGGUUGUAAACUUCUUUUAUAUGGGAAUAAAAUGUUCCACGUGUGGGAUUUUGUAUGUACCAUAUGAAUAAGGCUCGGCUAACUCCGUGCCAGCAGCCGCGGUAAUACGGAGGAUCCGAGCGUUAUCCGGAUUUAUUGGGUUUAAAGGGUGCGUAGGUGGAUUGUUAAGUCAGUUGUGAAAGGUUGCGGCUCAACCGUAAAAUUGCAGUUGAAACUGGCAGUCUUGAGUACAGUAGAGGUGGGCGGAAUUCGUGGUGUAGCGGUGAAAUGCUUAGAUAUCACGAAGAACUCCGAUUGCGAAGGCAGCUCACUGGACUGCAACUGACACUGAGGCUCGAAAGUGUGGGGAGCAAACAGGAGUAGAUACCCCAGUAGUC